rnacentral:rRNA from 1 species
UACGAAGGGUGCAAGCGUUACUCGGAAUUACUGGGCGUAAAGCGUGCGUAGGUGGUUUGUUAAGUCUGUUGUGAAAGCCCCGGGCUCAACCUGGGAAUGGCAAUGGAUACUGGCAAGCUAGAGUGCGGUAGAGGGUAGUGGAAUUCCCGGUGUAGCGGUGAAAUGGCGUAGAGAUCGGGAGGAACACCAGUGGCGAAGGCGGCUACCUGGACCAGCACUGACACUGAGGCACGAAAGCGUGGGGAGCAAACAGG